GAUCCUGGCUCAGGAUGAACGCUAGCGGCAGGCUUAACACAUGCAAGUCGAGGGGCAGCGGGAUGUAGCAAUACAUGCCGGCGACCGGCGGAUGGGUGCGUAACGCGUAUGCAACCUACCUUAUACAGGGGAAUAACCUUUCGAAAGGGAGACUAACACCCCAUGGUAUUGAUUUAAGGCAUCUUAGAUUAAUUAAAUAUUUAUAGGUAUAAGAUGGGCAUGCGUAUGAUUAGCUAGUUGGUAAGGUAACGGCUUACCAAGGCGACGAUCAUUAGGGGUUCUGAGAGGAAGGUCCCCCACACUGGUACUGAGACACGGACCAGACUCCUACGGGAGGCAGCAGUGAGGAAUAUUGGUCAAUGGGCGCAAGCCUGAACCAGCCAUGCCGCGUGCAAGGAAGACGGCCUUAUGGGUUGUAAACUGCUUUUACAUAAGACUAACCGUAUAUUUGCGAAUAUACCUGAAUGUAUUAUGAGAAUAAGGAUCGGCUAACUCCGUGCCAGCCGCCGC
rnacentral:rRNA from 1 species